UUUGUCCAGGGAUUUAUUCUUUUGCUUCACAGCUCCCUUCGAACAGAAACCAUGGCACUCGCCUGCAUCGCCCUGGUUCUUGCUUUAGCCCAUCUCCUCAUUGCUAAAUCAUUGGAGUGAGAACCCCUAGUUCCUAAAGCUAUGGACAAUGCUACAACUUCAAGACCGCUGUUGCAUGGAGGAGCACAUGCUAAUGGAAGUAGCAUCCAUCACUGUCAUCCAAACAAGAGCCAAGUACUGUGCAAGCAGGGUAGAGGAACAUACAGCUAGAGAAGCGUGCACCCCUGUGCAGCUGAGCUGCUUCCUCAGGCAUACAUGUUAAGGAGCAGGAGAGCAAGGUGGGGUCUUUCAGGGGAGCCACUAUCUGUUUUCCCUACAAACAAGGCAACCCACUUGGGGUGGGGGAAUAACAGCUCUCCAUCCUUCCUCACCCAUAGAUUUCCCCACCUUUCCUCAGCAGUCGUCCUCCCCAGCCAGCCUGGCACCGUCCAUAUUUGGAAACACUAAAUUACCCCUUGAUUUUCUCCUGGACGUUACAGAAAAGGAGAGUGAGGUAGAUGGCAGCUGUUUCAUCAUGCUCAGAAUAAAAUAUUAUGAACUGUGGUUUGAUAAAAUAAGCAGCAGAUUGAAAUGCCAAAACAAUGUACUGAUCCACUUUCAAGGGAAGCUUUAAUUCUGGGCGCUAGCCAAGACUAAUAGCAUCCAGUGUUGAAAAAGCAUGGUUGAAAGAAGGACUCUUGUCCAACAUGAAACUGCUUUAUACCCAGUAUGGACCUGGAGGAAAGGUCCAUUGGCAUCUUUACACAUCAACACAAUGCAAUAAAACAACAUGUACACAUCACAGAGGUGAAGACUUGUAUGAAUAAAUCUCCUAAGCUUAUGGCUUUUUCUGCCUUCCUCAUUUUCACAGCUUGCGGGGAGAUGGUUCCAGGUUGCAAGUGCCUCCUCAUAUACACAGUACAUGAAAUGUAUAAAGAAAAUAGAGAAUUUUUUUUCUACUGUGGGACGCAUGAAGAUGAGCUCUGCUUCAAAGACUACACAAAAAUGUAAGGGCAUUGAAUUCUGGCCCAUUUAUGCUAACAUUUUUCCUUUAAAAAAAAAAAAGGAACCAAAAAACAGGUUACAAGAGAUUAUCAUUAAAGCAACUGAAUGGCAGAUCUCUCUUGCAGAAUAGCCCUUGCUUGCCUGAUGCUCCGCUGCCACGUUCAGGCUGUGUGGAUGUUCCAUACUUACCUUAUUCUUACCACUGCCAAGAGAUGCAGUUGAUGCCUCCAUCUUUUUCUACUACUCCUUUUCAUUCAGGAUAGACCCCAAUCUAAGAAAAAUGUAUAGAGCAUCUUUAGUCUGAACUGAAGGUGUUGUGUCUGGAGAGGGACCUGCACUCUCUGUAGAUGUCAAUGCUUCAUCAAAUUCCCCCAGAAAGACAGCAGGCACUAGCACUGCCCUAGAAUAGAAGUGCAGUGCCAGACAUCCUGUAAACCCACUUGACUUGUAGCAGGCUGGCAUGUUAGUAUAAUACGCAUCCAGAAGGACCCUUGAUGAAGCAAGUUAGUUCACAUUUCCUAUGAGCCACUGUACCGAAACAGCUGUGCUCACUCCUCUGCUCACUCCUUCCCCACAUAGGAACCAGAGAUGUAUUUUGACUAAUACCAGCUAUGUCACAAUCAACAGGGGUAAUUCUACUCUGACCUUGCAUGGUAAGAAUUCAAGAAAGCUAGGAAAGAAAACAUAGGGUACAUGGUCAUCCCCCAGGAUGGACUGAGUUUGGGUAGAGGGAUAGAAAGAUGCACCUGCUAACCUUUUACCAGUCCCUUCGCUUCCUCAUUUUCAUAAUGCAUUUUUUUAGUGAAACGGAAGGGGCUGAUGACUCAUCUGAACCCAAACAUUAGAUUUCCAUCUUAACAGAAAAUAAUUCCCCUUCCCUUUGGGGAGGUUCUUUGAAUGCAGUCAUUACAAAGGUUUAUAGCUGGUCUACAUUCCCAUGCCGAGAAUAGUGGCCAGGAGAAAAGAAUCCUCUAUUCCACAGACUCUCAGAACUGCUACACCUGGAGCAUCAUGCUGCUAGUUAACACUUGUUUCUAGUAGACCAUGUCUGCUACAGUGAAUACAGUCAAUGCCGCCACAUAGAGUCUGUCCAGACGUAUUUACACAUUGGUUCCAAGGCCCACAUAGGCUGAGCCUGCUUCACCUAAACACAGCACCCCCAUUUGCAAACUAUGAGCAAAAAAGCCCAGCUCCAGGGAGUUGGAGAAAAUACUCUAACUACACCCUACACAAGCAUCUGUUUUCUUCAAGGUCAUGAUACAAAUUCCACCAUCCGGCUUUUGAAAGGCAGCUCCAAAGACAUUUUGAUGCUACCUGUUUGAUGCUAGGUGGUAGCAGCACAUAGCUUUGAAGUACAUGGCGAUGAAUUAGCGUGUUAGCAUCUAGCAGCGUUAGCAGUGCUGGGAAAUUGCAUGCAUGUACCACACUGUUCCAUAACAUGAGAUAAGGUGGCUCCAGCUCACAAUGCCCAAGUGCAGCUGAUUUUGGGGAACAGACCAAACUAGAAGAUCAGAAAAGACCAUAUUAGGAUGUACGCAUGUGAUGGGCUUGUAAAACCGAGGAAUAUGCUGAAGGACAGAAUGUGAACAGGAGGACUGUCGGAGGGGCACGCUAUAUGGACAUCCUGGUGUCUUGCGAGUCUGCGUUGUGAGCAAGAGCCUCUUUACCCCUUAUAAUCAACUGAUAUACUGGACUUUGCAUGGUUUUAGGCUCAUUUAACAGUGAAUACUUGUAGUAAAUAAAGCCUUUCUGUCAUUCAUUGAA